UUUUAUUAGGGCAAUCCAAAAUCAUAAACAGUCCAGGCAGGGGUCAAAACCAAACAUAAACAGUCCAAAACAUGAAACACGAACAUCCACCAGGGAACCAGGAAAACGCAGGGUGACAUUCAACAAGGACUCCGUAACCAUGACAGAAACAACCAGGGUAUUUAUAGACAGGUGCAAACAAGGUAAGUGGUGACAGCUGAAUACAAUGAACAGUGAUGAACAGAUAAGGCUAGUGGGAAAUGUAGUUCUGAAGCGGGGUGACGAUAAGGGGAAGUGAGACCUCUAGUGGACACCCAGGGAUACACAGACCAGACACUGUGACAUUAGCCCCCCUCUAAGGAGCAGCUUCCAGAUGCUCCUCAGACACACCAAAAAAAAAACAAAAAGACCAGGAGGGAGGUGGACUGGUGGAGGUAGAACAGGGGGAGGGAUGGCGGGCCAGGCCCGUGUAGGAGAACGGGGACCGGCAGUAAUGGCUCCACCGGCAGCCAAGGUGGAUCAGACAGUUCAGGGGGCCAGGGCUGACCCAAAAGUUCAGGGGACCACGAGGGACCAGGCAGUUCAGGUGGCCAGGGUGGACCCGAAAGUUCAGGGGACCACGAGGGACCAGGCAGUUCAGGUGGCCAGGGUGGACCAGUCCAUCUCAGUUGUGCAGACAGCCAGGGAGGAACUCGCCACUUGAGCGACCAGAGCGGAACCUGCCCUUCCGGGGUCCCUGUGGAGACGUGACGGUGCUCUGGACGUCCUGUGGAGACGUGAAGGUGCUCUGGACGACCUGUGGAGACGUGAAGUGCCUCGACCUCGGGAACCAUCUCGGGCACCACAUCGGACAGCGCCUCGGGCACCGCAUCGGGAAUGGCCUCGGGUCCCACAACGGCAUCGGGAACCGCUCCGGCCUCGGGAACCAUCUCUGGCACCGCAUCGAACACUGCCUCGGGCACCGCCUCGGGAAUGGCCUCGGACCCUGCCUCGGGCACCGCAUCGGGAACGGCCUCCGCAUCGGGCACCGCCUCGGCCAUUGCAUCGGGCACCGCCUCGGCCUCAGGCACCACCUCAGCCUCGGGCAUUACAUCGGGAACCGUCUCUGGCACCGUCUCUGGCACCGCAUCGGGCACCGCCUCGGCAUCGGGCACCGCCUCGGCAUCGGGCACCGCCUCGGGCACCACCUCGGCCACCGC
ensembl:lncRNA